AAAUAUCUCUCCAUCCACGCAAGGCCAGAACCAAUCCUUAUCCCGUCUCAGUCGUCUCCUCCCCAAUCCCCUCCUCAUCGUCCGCCGCCACAGCCGCUCGCGCCGUUUAGCCGGCCGCCAAACUCCUCUCCGCCCCUGCUUCUCGCCGCCGGCGACUGCGGCCGCCGCUGCGCCAUCCCCUCGCUCGCUUCGUCCUCACCAUUCAAUCCCCUGCCGCAUACCGAGGCGGAGCAGCAGUGUGCACCUGCUCGUCGUCUCCAUCCCCGACGGCUGCCCGACGGAACCAGCAGCUUGCCGCUUAUUUGUCGACCCCGACGGAAGCAGCGCCCCGCCUCAUCUUCACCAUCGCUGGCGGCUGCCCGACAGAAGCAGCAGCUCGCUGCCUCCUCAUCAAUGUUGGAGGUCUGGUAGCAAAUUCCUUCCUCCCUGCAACUGCACUUCGCCUCCUCCAGCCCCAGUGCCCCAAAUCAUGAGAGAGGAGAUGGGUGGAGAAUGAACCAGAGGCUACGUAUCCAAUAUCCUCCAUCUCUGGCCCCCUUUGUGUGUGCUUGAGGUAAAUUGUGUCUCCUUUAAUUCCUGGUAUGGGUUACUUAAAUUAAUUCAGUAUCAAAGAUGCUUCGAGUGGUGAGGAACUUGACUGCUUCAUCAUAGAGAUGUUGAAGAUCUACUGUUCUUACAGUAUAAGCAUUACUUUUCAGUUGCCUACAAUAUUGUUGGAUUCCUUUCUCACAUCAAAAUAUAGGCAUGUAUUCGAUACAAAAAUGAAUAGACAAGAAUACUAUUAAUAUCGUAUUAAUAUCCAUCGUGGCUCGUGUUCUUUAAUCUGGCAAGGUAAACUACUGGUCUUCAUAAUCGACUGCAAAACAAGAAAAGCUUAAUUAUCCUGAAAUAUAUAUCAGAGUGAAGUCACUUAUUCCAGGUUUUGCAUAUUCUAUCAUUGCAGCUUUAGUUCCAUGGUUCCACCCAACCUGGCGACAUUUGCACCACUCGCAGGUACACAAACUUCUCCCUUCUUUCAUGAUAUCAAAUGUUGGAUUAGUCCUGGUCCUGCUGAAUCAUACUUUUCAUUGGAAAAUUUGGGCAUGAGAAGGAAAAAAAAUAUUUGCACCGGCUCUGGCGUGUGCCACAUGUUUGACAGGCAUAUGCCAUGGGAUUCAAUGAAGAAGAGGAGCAGGUGUUGUGCACGGUCGUCGCUGAAGCGCCUAGGCCCUAGCAGCUGAAUCUGAGAAGCAUUUGGCAUGUACCAAGGGAUUCUAUUUUGGGCUCAAUUGAAUCCAAGGUGUACAAGGUAGUCUGUUUUGCCAAUGCCAUCGGGUGGCUUUCGGUUCAUCGGCCACACGACCAACUGUAAAACUAUAGCCGGAAACCAUGUCUAGGAGGCAGGCAUAUGUGAGUCUAACAUUUGUGUCCAAGUAAAUUCCCUGGUGCUCACCCGGUAUGAUGCACGUAUAAGGGCUCAUAUAUGCAUAACGCCCCGUUUCGAAAAAAUGCAUAGUGCUGAGCUGCUUUUGAAAGGCUGGACAAAUGAAUGGACAUUUCAUAUAGUUAACCAAAUGCAGAUUUAUCCAUUUCUGAACCCACGUUUAUGUUCUUUGCUUUUUAAUUUAUUUGACAGAUCUCAAAGAUGCAGAAGAAAAAGCCACUACAGACCAUCUUUGUCUUUUGAAGGUGAUCUGAAUCCCUUCACUAUUUUCUUUCAAUAAUAUGGAAUCCAUUCCAUAGUAUAGCACACUAUUUUCUAGAAUCCUUAAAAAGUGGCUUGCCGUGCCUUACUUGUUUAUGUUGGUGCAAUUUAUUAUUUAAAGUUUAAUUACCUUUGUAAGAAUUUGAGGCCUGAUUUUCCUUGCUUAUGUUGAUGUCCAGUCCCAAAAUUAUUCUCUUCAUACUGGAGUUGCUAGCUGAUAUAACAAAGUAGCUUCGGUCUGUAUUGGUUAGACCCAUACAAUAUAUGCAAAGGAUUUUCGGCUAUGUGUUCCACUUCAUAGCUUAUGGCUUGACAUCCACUAAACUGCAUAGUCCACGUCUGAUUCUAAAUUUGACCAUCCUAUCUCUUCUUUGUAACAAGAACAAAGUAGAACAUAUACAGUUGAUUAAAAUUUAGGGCUAUAAGCAGGUUCAGGUCAUAUUUGAUGAGACAAACGGAUGGUUAUCCUUAUGUGCUGUUGCAUAUGGAGAAUACUUAUGUUUGUAUUCACUUCGAGAGAUUUUGCAUACCUUCUGAUGAGACUCAGUUGCUCUAUAUAUCUUGUACCCGCUAAAUGUCUUCUAUGCUUUCCAAAUUUGUUGAUCACAUGAAGUAACAGUAGCUUUUAGAUAAAUAAGAGCUAUCCACUAGACCGAAAAACGUACAAACCAAAGAGCCUUAGCUAAUGGUUGAUGAUACCUUACUCUUGCUUCAUAGUCAUCUAUUUGUAUAGUCUUCAGUCAUACUUAGUGUUUGCAGGUCUAUGUUCCAGUGCAUAAAUUACAAAUUAUUCUGAUUUUUAAUUUCUCUAGAAUCAGUAACCAAAGGUGUACAAAAUGUUUUAUCAACUUGAGUCUGUUUACAAUCAGAAAAGCUGUUGUUGUGUUACAUAGCCGAGAAAAAUCAAUGCUGAAUUAUUUUGUGGCCACAAUCUCAACUGCCAUGGAUCAUUGUUCUAUCACGCUUCAGUUCUCAUGUUUAUCUUCAUUUUAGCUCAUGGUAAUGUUUAAAAUAUAUCAAAGUUUCUUUGUCCAGUCAAGCUAGAAUUUUGAUGUCUCCUAUAUGGUGUUAUUUUUCAUAUUACCAAAAGCAACGUACACCCUUAAUGUAAUUAUUUAUUGAUUAUUUGACAAUAUAAGUUCAGAUAUCAUCCAUUGUGGAGGCAAAAUAAAUGACAAGCUGGAGAAAAUAUCAAGUGAUAUUUUUCGUUCAUGUAGCAGCGCAUGAUAUCAUUUUUAGUCUUAUUGGGUAGCAGUAUUGCUUGAAUUGAUACCAUUUCUGAUAAGAACACUAUAUUUUGAUGUUACAUAUUGUUAAGUCUAUUAUUUGUAUAUAUUUCUGGCUGCUUAAUUGGUUCCUAGAAUUUCCUGUUAGUUAAAUAUAAAUUUAUAUUGCCAGGUGAUAAUGAAAUUUAUUUUGUUUAACUGGGAAAAUAAGUUAACAACGAUGCCUGUAAAUGUAGACUUGAGGUAGCUAUACUUGAUCAGUUUGUAUUCGUAGAAAUAUUUGGUAAUCUUAACUAUCUUUCGAAAUUCAUAGACAUAUGAUUCAGAAAAUAUGCAACUUCCUCAUUUCUACAAGGUCUUCUUUUUUCCUUUGAGCCAACAUUAUUGUUGACUUUUCUUGGAAGAUUUACAAUGAGGCUACAACUAGGAGUGACAUUUUUAUCAUACGACUAAGACUGAAGCUAAGAAAAAUUUAUAGUUCUUGUGAUGUUGGAUUACUAUGAUCUACCUAAAGUGGCAUGGGGAGUUGAAUCCAUAUAACUUCGAGUAGGUUAGCUUUGCUUUUAUAUGAUUGUCCUUUUCUUAAUUUCCCUUUGGAAUUAUGAAGUGCUUUUUAUUUUUUGCAGCUAGAUAAAAUCCAUAAACAAAGAUUUUUUUUGCACUUUAUCACCAUGAAUACGGAGUGGAGGCAACGGCGCAAUUUAUCUGAUGGUGUUUCCACUGUCUCUAAGGAAGCACUUUAUGUAUUUAACUUAGCACUUUAUGUAUUUAACUUAGUUUUGUCCUGCCAUCAGUUCUUUAGUAAAUCAUGUUGUUUUAUUCAGACUAUUGUGCCUUUUAGCCCAGACAUUUCUAGGUUCACCCAAGUGGUGUUACCUCAUUAUUUGCAAGAUAAUUGUCUUACAUUUCUUCUAUCAAGUACUACACGGUUGGCUUCGUCAAAUGAUGUCAUAUGUAACAUUUUACUUCAUUGCAGUAUUUAGUGAAUGUAAGAUAACUUUCUAGAAUUAUCUAGGAUUCGGGAAAGGCAUAUUGAAUGUGUAAUUUCUGUCGUGUGACCAAUUUGAAUUUUGUUCUGCUUCUAGGAGAUGAUAUACUGGUUGUGAACUUAUUCACAUUUAUGUAAGUUUAUCGUUCUCCAGCUCAUGUUUCUAUCCUAAUCCUCGCUUAUCCUACUUUAAAUUAUCAGAAAAAUAUUUUAGCAGUACCUGAUUCUUUUGAUUUUCUUCAGGCUCUGCUUCCACUCCGACAGGUUCCUCCGCCCCGCUGUGACGGACUUUCCUUUGCUUCGACGAUGUCGUCUGCUCUAGCGGCAACAUGGCGGGAGACAUCAUCCUCUAGCAAUGCCAACUAGCUGCAGGCCCCUCUCUGCCGUCGGACUCUUCCAUGCACCAUGCUUGCGUUUAGUUACGCAUUCUCCUCAUGAAUAUACCUUGUUGGCAGGUCACUUGACUGCUAGAAGUGACAUCUACAUCUUUGGUGUGCUCUUUCUUGGGGCGAAAAUCCAUCGACAAGUACUGGCCCAGCAGCGAGCGCAACCUGGUCAACUGGGUUCGUCCCAAGUUGAGCUACAAGAGGCGGCUUCUCCAAAUCAUCGACCCAAAACUGGAGGCGGAGUAUUCAGAUAGAGGUGCUCACAAGGCCUGCAGCCUUGCAUAUUGGUGCCUGAGCUAGAACCCCAAGGCUAGGCUCCUCAUGAGCGAUGUCGUCGAGAUGCUUGAACCACUGCAAGAAGGUGGUGGAAGCGAUGGACCUAUUGUUCACGUGGGUGGCCUCCCCGACUACAGAAUUUGCCGCAUGUUGAUAGGAUACAACGUGCACUGCAUGGCCAUUCCCAGCCCCAAGUGCCCACCUGUCAUCCCGACGUGCAGGGUUAGAUGAUAACAACUUCUGCAGUUCCAGGUUUUACCUGCAGCAGCAGUAGGUCAAGUUGUAAAUUGUGAGCUCUUUCAAUGUGUAAAUUUGAUCCGCACAUCGCUGCUGCGUUUUGUUUCUGCCGCUUAUAAGGACCUUCAGUUUUCACGGUGGUCUUAAUGUAUCUUUGAUUGAGUGACCCCUGCUGAAACCGGUGGGGUUUAAUCCAUGGAGAUAAAAUGCUGCACCAAGAGGUGUUGCGGGUCAAUGGUAUGGAAUGGAACUAUGGAAGUUAUGUCA